rnacentral:rRNA from 1 species
AGCAGCCGCGGUAAUUCCAGCUCCAAUAGCGUAUAUUAAAGUUGUUGCAGUUAAAAAGCUCGUAGUUGAAUUUCGGGAUCAAUAUGUUGGUCGUGCCUUGGUACGUACUAAUUUAUUGGUUUCUUCCUUCUGACGAACCAUGAUGUCAUUAAUUUGGUGUCUUGGGGAAUCAGGACUGUUACUUUGAAAAAAUUAGAGUGUUUAAAGCAGGCUCACGCUUGAAUACAUUAGCAUGGAAUAAUGAAAUAGGACGUUUGAUUCUAUUUUUGUUGGUUUCUAGGAUUGACGUAAUGAUUAAUAGGGGAUAGUUGGGGGCAUUAGUAUUCAAUUGUCAGAGGUGAAAUUCUUGGAUUUAUUGAAGACUAACUACUGCGAAAGCAUUUGCCAAGGAUGUUUUCAUUAAUCAAGAACGAAAGUUAGGGGAUCGAAGACGAAUCAGAUACC